AAAAAAAAAAAAAUCCAACUUCUAAAAACUAGAAUCCAAAAACAACAACCAGAGCAGGAAGCCUCUCGAGUUACAACCUGAACUUCAAGCCCCAUAAUACUUUCCUCCAGCCAGCUCUUUUUUAUUUUGAGAUGAGCUGAGCAUGGUAUGAACAGCAGCAGAUUCAACACAACCCAUGUCAGGUCUAAGCAGCUUAUACAUGUCCUGGCUUGCCCUGACAUGUUUUUCUGCUGUCCCUCCUUCCAUUGUGAGGAGAAGCAACCAUGGGAAAGAGGACAAAGAACCUGGGGCCACUGAGUCUAGAGACUCUGGCUUGCCCAGAGUUGUUUACAUUCUGUGGUAAACAAGGAACAGGCUCUAAAUGCCUCCACCUGAUGGGCCUGCACAGCCAGUGUGACAUCCUGCUGAGACUGCACAUCGCAAGACAUCCUGCCUACGCCUGAAAGUCUCCUGCCUACGCCGGGAAGUCCUGGAGCUACAUGGAUCAUUCAGAGAAGCCAGGAUACGGCCAGAGAUUGUCUGUCUCCUUUCCCCAGCACUCUAUGUGAAUUGUGGGAAGAAUCAGAAGUCUCAGUGGCUGACAAGGCAGUAGCUGAAUUCCCUGAAAGCAUUUGAGUACUGUCUGAAGCUGUAGCUGGCCCCAUGAGUUGGGAGAUAAUUUUGUGGGUAAAUACUUAAAGCCUCUUGCGAUUCACCAUUGCCUUCUGCCAUAAGCAGAAAGGGGCUCCUGGAGUCCAUCUAGAAAGCAAGCAGUAUACUGACCACAAGCAGUGUAUUGACCACAGGAACCUUCUUUUCUGGUUCAAUUAAUGUUAUAUGUUUUUGCUAGUUACUUCUAAACCCAGUUAUUGCUCUGUAGAAUGUUUCCAUGACCAUGCAAAGAAUCAGUUAUUAUUAACAUUGGUGUUUGGGGGGGGAGAAUCCUGAAUAUCAAAACUAAUAAAUGAUAUUAAUUUUGGAAAAAAUAUCAUCUUGCAUGAAUGAAUUUAGCCCUUCUUUAAAGUAUUUCAGAGGAGGCUUUUUUUCUUGAGCAGCCAUGUUACUUUUUCCUGCACAAUUCAGGCCUGGUAUGGGGCAAAGCUGGGGGCCAUUGACUCCCAGGUUUAGGUCUGCUUGAGAGGAGAGGUUUUAGAAGGUUUUGGCCUAGUGAGAGUGUGGUAAGCCCAUGCUGGAGGACUGGGCUGAGGCUGAAUAUGAAUGUGUGUAUUUUGUAUUUCUGUAUACACCUGUGAAUAGUAUUUCCAUUUAAACUUCCAAUGCAGUGAGGAGAGAUUUCAUUUUACUCCUUUGGGAAGGAGUAAAAAUAGCUUCUGUCUGCUUAAAACCAAGAGGCACUCAACUACAGAAAUGGUGCUUUGAAGCCACCCAUAGGAUGAUCAAUGGAUGUGAUUAUUUGGUAGUGCUAGGAGAGAAUGGAGGCAACGAGUGAAAGCAAAAAUUCUACUAAUAUGCAAAUAGAUAAGAAGCACAGGAAUAAUUUUCUGUCCUCUCCUUGAGAGAAAUUCAAUCCAAAAUGAUAAAAAAAAAUAUAUGUAAUUAUGCAUAUAUGUGCCCAUAGAAUGAAAUAAAAAUAGUGGUAAACAUUUGCACUAAAGUAUAUUUGAAAGCACAAAAAUCAUAUACUGAAAUCUACAGUACAUGAUAUUACAAAGCAAAAAUAGUGUGAAGUUCGUGUUUCUUGGAAGAGACCUUUGAGAUCAUAGAGUCCAACCUGUUCAAUACACAACUUCUAAUGAAACAUUUUGCUAACAUUGAAGUGUUUCUGCAUGUGAUUUAUAACAAAGUUUUAACUUAUUUGUUGUCAUUGGUAAGGAAUGAAAUACAAUAUGCAAACUAAUAAACAUUUAUCAAAUCACCUCUCA